rnacentral:rRNA from 1 species
GACGAACCGUACAAACGUUAUUCGGAAUCACUGGGCUUAAAGGGUGCGUAGGCGGCCUUGCAAGUUGGGUGUGAAAUCCCUCGGCUCAACCGAGGAAUUGCGCUCAAAACUGCCGGGCUCGAGGGACACAGAGGUGAGCGGAACUUAGGGUGGAGCGGUGAAAUGCGUUGAUAUCCUAAGGAACACCAGGAGCGAAAGCGGCUCACUGGGUGUCUUCUGACGCUGAGGCACGAAAGCUAGGGGAG